rnacentral:rRNA from 1 species
UACGUAGGGUGCAAGCGUUGUCCGGAAUUAUUGGGCGUAAAGAGCUCGUAGGCGGUCUGUCGCGUCUGCUGUGAAAACUCAGGGCUUAACCCUGAGCUUGCAGUGGGUACGGGCAGACUAGAGUGCGGUAGGGGAGACUGGAAUUCCUGGUGUAGCGGUGAAAUGCGCAGAUAUCAGGAGGAACACCGGUGGCGAAGGCGGGGUCUCUGGGACGUUACUGAACACUG